GGGCAACUGAAAAUAUAUCGGGAUAGGAAUAUUGAGAUCUGGGGUGGAGAAUUGGUUCUGUUAAGUUGAAAAGGUGAAAUUUAUUAGGUAUCGGUAGGAUUGAUUUUUAUUAGGGGAUUUUGAUUUUUUAGAGUCUAAGAGGUAAAAUAGGAUUAGAUACCCUAUUAUACUUAGUUGAAAUGGGGGAUCUUUGAGUAGUAAACAGGUAUAGUCUCGAAACUCAAAGGAUUUGGCGGUAUCUAAGUCUAGUUAGAGGAAUUUGUGCAGUAAACGAUAAACCCCGAGUAUCUAGCCUUGCUUUGUAAUUAUCAGUUUGUAUACCGCCAUUAUUAGGUAAUCUUUGUGGAGAAUUACUGUAAUUAAGGCUAGUUAAAUAUAUUAGGUCAAGGUGCAGCUUAUGGUAAGGAUGUCGUGAAUUACAUUAUGACGAGAAUUAUACGGAUGGGCUAUGGUAGUAGGUAGCUUUGAAGGUGGAUUUAAUUGUAAGAGGUAUAGAUUGUAUAUGUCUGGUAGAAGCUCUUGGAUAUGUACACAUCGCCCGUCGUUCUCACUUU
rnacentral:rRNA from 1 species